AUGGCACAUAUUUAAGUAUUUCCAAGAAAAACAAUGUAUGAGUGCAAUAUAUACUAAAAUAUAUAUGUAUUUGCACUCUUUAGAAAGAAGGCUUACAGUUGCACAAUAACUGUGAUUUCACUUUUCAACUCUGAAAAAACAAGUUUUACAAAGAUAUAUUUUGUCACUGAAUAUUCAAAACUUAAUGUCUUGAACUAGCAGCAUUAUGCUGCUUUGACUUUUAAACAUCAAUAACACUUUAUUGCCAUAGAGCGCGCGGAACUGGUGGCAAGCGGGGCAUGGAAAAAAUUUUCAAUACUUUUCUCACCGCUUCUGGAGCUCGUAGCUACAGGGGGAUCCGAGCUGGAGGAAGGGGAUGCAGGGACACUGGCAGACGCUUCCACAACAACACCGUGGCGCCGCUUCAAGUGAGAUAUCAGAUUAGUCGUACUGCCCGUGUAUUUUACAGAUGCGCGGCACAUUUUACAAAUUGCAGCUGUCUUGUCAAGUCGUCCUUCUUUCUUGUAAAAUCCAUAGUGUUCCCAAACUUUGGACUUGAAACUAAGUGGAGGAUAAAUGAUCUUGGCGUCCGACAUGUUUGUUUUGCUAAUUCGUGCUUCCUGACAACUACCUGUGGGCGCAUCACUGGCUUCAUCCGCGCAGCCCCCAUGAGUUGUAGUGUAAACAUCCGCAAGUCCGUUGCUUAGGCCUACUUUAUGUAGGUCGUUUAAAUUAUGCGCUAAAACAGGUUGACAACACUUGUUAAUAAAUAAACACAUUCUGUAUUAAAAGAAUAAGCCGUAUCUCAGAAAAACCGAUGCAUCUCGCAAAAACCGAUGCAUCUAGAUUUGCUUCAAAAGUUUCAUUCAUCCUCUGCUGCUCUACCGAUGCACUCGCAUCGUGCACGCGCACGACCGCGUAUCGAUUCAUAUCGGUUAAUCUUCCCAUCCCUAGUGGAGACACAUUUUGAUUUGUCUUAUUUAAAG